AUAUUUUUUAAAUCUGUUCUUAUCAGUUUAAUAUCUGACACGUCCCCUAUCUGGGGACCAUAUAUUAAAUAGAUUUUUGGAACAGGGAGAUGGAAUAGGGGCUUGCUCCGUCCACUCCACGCAUCGACCUGGUAUUGCAGUACCUCCAGGAACGGUGCACCCCCU
ensembl:snRNA U2 U2 spliceosomal RNA